rnacentral:rRNA from 1 species
UACGUAGGGUGCGAGCGUUGUCCGGAAUUAUUGGGCGUAAAGAGCUCGUAGGCGGUGUGUCACGUCGUUCGUGAAAACCUGCAGCUUAACUGUGGGCGUGCGGUCGAUACGGGCAUCACUGGAGUUCGGCAGGGGAGACUGGAAUUCCUGGUGUAGCGGUGAAAUGCGCAGAUAUCAGGAGGAACACCGGUGGCGAAGGCGGGUUUCUGGGCCGAUAUUGACGCUGAGGAGCGAAAGCGUGGGGAGCGAACAGG